AUACGAAGGGUGCAAGCGUUACUCGGAAUUACUGGGCGUAAAGCGUGCGUAGGUGGUUCGUUAAGUCUGAUGUGAAAGCCCUGGGCUCAACCUGGGAAUGGCAUUGGAUACUGGCGAUCUAGAGUGCGGUAGAGGGCAGUGGAAUUCCCGGUGUAGCAGUGAAAUGCGUAGAGAUCGGGAGGAACAUCUGUGGCGAAGGCGACUGCCUGGACCAGCACUGACACUGAGGCACGAAAGCGUGGGGAGCAAACA
rnacentral:rRNA from 1 species